UGGGGAAUAUUGCACAAUGGGCGCAAGCCUGAUGCAGCCAUGCCGCGUGUAUGAAGAAGGCCUUCGGGUUGUAAAGUACUUUCAGUCGGGAGGAAGGUGGUAAGGUUAAUAACCUUAUCAAUUGACGUUACCGACAGAAGAAGCACCGGCUAACUACGUGCCAGCAGCCGCGGUAAUACGUAGGUGGCAAGCGUUGUCCGGAUUUAUUGGGCGUAAAGCGAGCGCAGGCGGUUUCUUAAGUCUGAUGUGAAAGCCCCCGGCUCAACCGGGGAGGGUCAUUGGAAACUGGGAGACUUGAGUGCAGAAGAGGAGAGUGGAAUUCCAUGUGUAGCGGUGAAAUGCGUAGAUAUAUGGAGGAACACCAGUGGCGAAGGCGGCUCUCUGGUCUGUAACUGACGCUGAGGCUCGAAAGCGUGGGGAGCAAACAGG
rnacentral:rRNA from 1 species